CUGAUAUGCGACCCGGCUCCCAACAUUCACCUACAAGAGCCGGCUCUAAGAGCCGACUCGUUCGCGAACGAACCGUCACCACCACACAUCCAGUACUAAGCGCAAGUGAGAUAAGGCUCUGCUUCGUUCAUCACAGGCUCGCACACCCUGUCAUUCAUUCUGCCCUCCCUCGCUUCGGCGCACGCUGCAUUCCUCCGGUAGUUUUUGGAUAGCGCAUAGCGAUGUUUCUCUGCAGAACGGCCUGGCAAAGAUGUGGGCAUUUGGCAAGGAAGUCAGCCUACCAGUUAUCUAGAGAUGUGCUGCCACGGCGACAGAUGUCGUCGCUCCCCGGUGGUACUGGGGAUAACAUCAUCUAUGCCCUGCUGUGUGGUGGGGCCUUUGUUGGAGCAGUCGCCUAUACGUACAGCACUGUGACCACAGACCACGCCAGAUUCACCGACCGUGUGGCGGAUAUCAACGCUCGUCCCAAGGCUGAGUGGGUUCCCAAACCAUGGCCCCCCAAGAGUGAGGAAGCAGUAGCCGAUGGAGAGGAGGAAGCAGAGGAGGCGGCGGCUGGAGAGGAGGCUGCAGCUGAAGAGGCUGUAGAGGCGGAAAACGUAGCAGAACCUGCUGAAGAGGCCGAGGCAGUCUCUGAAGAACCUGCUGUGGAGGCAGCCGUAGAGGAAGUGGCUGUAGUAGAAGCAGAGACUGUGGUGGAGGAGAUCGCAGAGGCUGUCGCCGAGGCUGCUGAAGUCAUCGUCGAGGUCGCUGAGGAGGUCGUUGAGGUGGCUAAGGAAGUAGAGGCGGCAGCAGAGGAAGUGGUCAUAGUGGCCGAGGCUGUGGAGGAUGCUGCAGAGGCCAUUGCCGUGCCCACCAUCGCCGAGGAAGCAGUUGCUGUGGCAGAGCUAGAGAGCAAUGUGGCACCAGUCGCUAUGGCAGCAGCCUCUGCUUUGGCGGUGGCAACAGUCGCUGAAGUAGUUUUAGAAGUCAAGGAGGCUGCCCCAGUGGAGGCCCCAGCUGCAGAAGAAGCAGCUCCAGUCGAGGCCGCACCCAUAGAAGAGGCUCCAACUGCAGUCGAAGAAGCUCCAAUUGAGGCUGCCGCAGCAGAGAUUGUGGAGGCAGACGCUGCACCUGUGGAGGCAGACGCUGCACCUGUGGAGGCAGACGCUGCACCUGUGGAGGCAGAAGCUGCACCUGUGGAGGCAGACGCUGCACCUGUGGAGGCAGACGCUGCACCUGCGGUGGAAGAGGCGCCAGCUGCGGUGGAAGAGGCGCCAGCUGCGGUGGAAGAGGCGCCAGCUGCUAAGGAGUACAUUGUAGUGGUGCUGGAGGGAGCGAGCAAGUCAGACAAGAGGCCCAAAGUCCUGGGGGUUGGCCCCAUGACCGGCAGGAUGAUCCCAGACGAAGAUGAGGCCCCUGCUGCUGAGGUAACAGGUAAUUUGACAAAUAAACAGGAUGCAACUGAUCAGGUAGCCUAGCCUAGCGGCAGGUAGCCUAGUGGUUAGAGCGUUGGACUAGGAACCGAAAGGUUACAAGAUCGAAUCCCCGAGCUGACAAGGUAAAAAUCUGUCAUUCUGCCCCUGAACAAGGCAGUUAACCCACUGUUCCUAGGCUGCCAUUGAAAAUAAGAAUUUGUUCUUAACUGACUUGCCAAGUUAAAUAAAUAGAAUGUCUGAUCAGUUGGAUGAGUAGAUUAUUAAAAACAAAAAUAGGACUGACACUGUUUAUAAAUGCACAGGCAUUCAGGAUUUUGUUGAAAAUGAUCUAUUUGAGCUAAAUGUAACCGAUGAUGCGACCCAGUCAUACUAGUACUCGUAGUUGUACAGAGGUAGGAUCUUAACUUGACCCCUUUCUCACAGCAGGAAAAUAAUCCUGCAGCAACCGGAAAUGUGAAUUAUGUGGAUUAUAAUUCAUGGACAUUUUUGGUAGGGGUUGAUACAUUUUUAGUUGGGGCAAAUUAAGUCUGAAAUGUUUAAGAAGAAAUUACAAACUUCAGAUGCCUUUUUUAAACCUUUUAAUAGACUACACGUUUGCCGUUCCUGCUUUGCAGUUUUUUGUCCUGCAACAACCGGGUGAUCAAAUUUAAGAUUCUGUAUCUCACAUUUUGAAACCUAGAUUAACAGGCUACUGCCAUUUCAGUGUUAGUCAGAGUAUUGUGAUCUCAUGUGAUCUCACCACGUUGGUCUUCAGGGCAAGCGACGGGGCCUUAGGAUGAAGAUGCAGUUGAACCAACUGACAGGUAUUGAACUUCUGUAGUCACUUCUCUAAGUAGGCAUCUAUUCACCAGGGGAAAACACUACACAGGUUUAGGUUAGAUUACAAUACGCAAGGAACAUUUCCCUUUUUGUGUAACCUAAAACGAUAGUGUUUUUCCUUGGUUAUUAGAUGCAUACUUGUUUAUAUUACUUUUUCUGUCUCUGGUCUGUCAUGCACCAGUCUUGAUGCCAUGUGUUUUUAUGUCACUUUUCUUCUCAUUCUAUUCAUCACAGUAAGCACUUGGAGCCCCUGGAUGAUAUAUCUACCCUGAGGAAGACAAGGGAUGUGCCUUCCCCCACACUUUAACCCUUCCACGCACUUUGGCCCCUAACCCUUGAUUUUUAUCUGUAUUAUAAAACUUGUCUCCCCGUCUUGCAUCGGGGAAUUGUCUGUGUAUAUGUUCAGAUAAUGCCUGCUUUAUGGAAACAAAAGUCUGAUAUAUUAUUCUAAUGUACUCCACCUGUUCCAAGAAGAGGUACAUCUUCCGAUUGUAUCACAUCGGAGCCGUUUAGAAAUGGUCCAUCUAUAUAGGCUUCACAACCGAACAUGUGACACUGCAGAUAGUCAGUCAUAUAGUACAAUACAUUACUCUUCUCAACUUUUUAGAUGCGCACAGUCACAAAACCCCUGGGAGUUUACUACUGGUUCAUCUGCACAACCUUUAUAAGGAGACCAUCUUUCUCACAAUGGGAGUUCUAUUUUCUUAGUUUUCAGUAUGGUUACAGCUGUGAAGGCUAAGGAUACUCUCACAGCAUCGUAUGUCAUAGUUUACUUCACCCAAGAAACCUCACACUAGACUCACUCCAAUGGUGUUUUAUGAUUUUCACCAUCCAAGGCAGUACUACACAUCUGAUGCUCAGCCAGCAAUUGCCUCAUGUCCGGGUAGGAAUGCGACCAGCAUUCUUUAACUAUCCUCAUGUUUUAACUCUUUGGGCUGAUUCCAAUGUGAACAUCACAAGUAUUUAACUCUCAAAGGGAAUUCGAUCAGACUGCUUUUGGAAAUCACUCUAUUUCUGAGUCACUGACUUGUUUUUGGGAGACCAGUAUUAAUUAUCUUACCACCUCAGUAUUCCUCCAGCUUGUGAUCCACAGACCUUUUAUCAAUGCAGUGUUACAGUUGAACAAACCUUCUCAGUUGCAUGCCAGACAUGUGAUUCAUAUUGGGAAAGGAGCAUGACAACGAAUGAGUCAGGUUUUUACAGUCGGUGAUGUCUCUUCAAGCUAGACGCCAUUGCGUAGUCCAUGAUGUCGCUCUUCAAGAUUUCAUAAGGCAGACAUUUUCAUCUCUCUUUUUACUUUCUCCCUCCCCCUCUGUUGUAGAGCCUUUCUCUGCUCAGCACCAUGGCUAUAGAGUACACAGCUGUUAGAUAGUCCAUUUAUUUAAGUGACCCUCUAUAGCUUAUUGUGGUGAAAAGCUGUAUCUGAAAUAGGAAAAGCCAUGAUUUGAGUGUAUAGCAUGUUUUCGUAGGCUGGUAUAAACAGUUGAGUGUUGUGCUUGUUAUCAUAUGAAAGUAGAUUUUUUUUUACUCUGCAGUCAGGCUUAUGUGGUGGCAUACGUUAAUUCAGCGCUUGAUAUGGCUCACUAAGUGUUUCUAAAGUUUUUUUCUGCUUUUCAAAUUAGAUGACUUACUAGUUAGUUUAGAUUCAUAAAUACAUGUUCAUAACUUUGUCAGAACCAGUUAAAAUAAUCUGCAGGCCAUACAAGGCUUUCACUGUAGACAGACAUACUCUACAUAUGUGUUGUAGGACUAGUUUCCUCACAUAUAUUUUAUUUUUGCUGUGUUAGGCAUAUUUGAAACGGUACCGAGACCGUUGAUAAGAAGUGAAUGUAGGAUAAUUCCUAAUUAAGGAGUGGGAUAAUUCAGUGUGUAUGUCCUAAUGUUUGCAGGCAGGUUUUGAAUGGGCUAUAUAGUGGCUUGUCAUGUGAGUGAAUGGCUUCAUGCUGUGCAUCUGGCCUAGCAUGGGCUACAAACUGGGACUAUUUGAAACAUUGCUGUUUUUCUGAAAUAAAGGAA
rnacentral:lncRNA from 1 species